rnacentral:rRNA from 1 species
UACAGAGGUCUCAAGCGUUGUUCGGAAUUACUGGGCGUAAAGGGCCAGUAGGCGGCCAACUAAGUCCGACGUGAAAUCCCCAGGCUUAACCUGGGAACUGCGUCGGAUACUGGAUGGCUUGAAUUCGGGAGAGGGAUGCAGAAUUCCAGGUGUAGCGGUGAAAUGCGUAGAGAUCCGGAGGAACACCGAAGGCGAAGGCAGUGUCCUGGCGAGUGACUGACGCUGAGGUGCGAAAGCCAGGGGAGCGAACGGG